rnacentral:rRNA from 1 species
UACGUAGGGCGCAAGCGUUGUCCGGAAUUAUUGGGCGUAAAGAGCUCGUAGGCGGUUUGUCGCGUCUGCUGUGAAAACCUAAGGCUCAACCUUGGGCUUGCAGUGGGUACGGGCAGACUAGAGUGCGGUAGGGGAGACUGGAAUUCCUGGUGUAGCGGUGAAAUGCGCAGAUAUCAGGAGGAACACCGAUGGCGAAGGCAGGUCUCUGGGCCACUACUGACGCUGGAGAAGCGAAAAGCAUGGGGAGCGAACAGG